rnacentral:tmRNA from 1 species
GGGGCUGAAUUUUAAGCUCGACGUUGGACUUUAUCGGUUAGAUCAGCAGGUCGCUUGUCAGCGAAUAGACAAUCAAGAAUAGAUGUAAAAUCUAAUCUUAGCAAAAUGGUUGACCGAGCUUUGGCUCAGCGCCAGUUUGCGCUCGCUGCCUAAUUUUUGGUAGCCGUGACUCUCGUGACACCCUGUAGCGGGAGCUCACGCCAUAUUUCAGGGUUGCUGAGCUGCGAUGACUCGUAGUAGUUCUUAAGACUUACGAGCUGCAACGUGCGUUGUUUUGUCUGUUUUCAAGACGUGCGCCUAAGUAUUUCAAAAUAGACUAUGUCUGUAGAAGACUAACCAAGAUAAACUAGCGGACGUGGGGGCAGUACCCACCAGCUCCACCA